rnacentral:lncRNA from 1 species
AUUUUAUCUGCUUGUGUUGAAUUGAUCACAAGGCUGGAACUGCAGGAGAGGGAAUUACAGGGAUAAAACUUGAAGAUGAAUCAGCCUCCUCCACGAUGACUUUCACCAAGUAGGAGGAGAUCCCCGUCUCCGAGGGCCAUACAGGCGAAACACCCUCCACUCCAUGGUUUUCCUUACCUGCAAUUUUUCCGCCACUGAUCAAUGAGCAUUAUCAACACGCAAAAACUCUUUUCAAUUGACGUGAAAUUAAAGCUUCUAGACUCUAGAUCUACCUCACAUGUGAAGAAUUGUGGCUUCUUAAUGGGGGCAUGCGUGUCUCCAAUGUCGUUUGCUUGGCGCCAUCAGAAAAGAAAGGUACCAACAAGUCCUGCAGCUUGCCUUGGAUCAGUGCAGUCAACAUGCGCCACCAACAUCAGAUGUCGUGCUAGUGACCGAGAUGAUCCGAUAGUCCUAACCAAUGACCUCAUACAACAUACGUUAUUGAAUAAAGCUUAAGGUUCUUGUAGCAAUUGCUUGUGUAUAUAAUGUACUCCCUCUCACCUAUUCAAAUGCUGAAACGAUAUACGACACUGUAGAAUAAAACAAUGUCUCCACAAUUGCACUAACCUUGGUAUCUCUACAAGUGGUUGGCAUUGGCAGUAUGUUGAUUUAGAUCCUUGCGUCAUUGAAGUAUGAAAUUGAAAAGAUUUAUUUAUGUACUACAGAGAGAGAGAGAGAGAACCAUGGCUCUUUUAGCUUCUUGUGGCUACAGGUCAAGAGGCAUAGGCAGCGCAUCGACUUCGAAUGCC